UACGGAGGGUGCAAACGUUGCUCGGAAUCAUUGGGCGUAAAGCGCACGUAGGCGGCCUGUUAAGUCGGGUGUGAAAGCCCUGGGCUCAACCCAGGAAGUGCACUCGAAACUGGCGGGCUUGAAUAUGGAAGAGGGUCGCGGAAUUCCCGGUGUAGAGGUGAAAUUCGUAAGAUAUCGGGAGGAACACCAGUGGCGAAGGCGGCGACCUGGGCCAAUAUUGACG
rnacentral:rRNA from 1 species